AUGGCGGCGCUCUGCAGCUGGCACGGCGUCAGCUGCACGGUGCACCAGCGCCGGCCGGUGAUCAGCGGCAUCACCCUGAGGAAGAUGCAACUUAGAGGGACGUUGGAGUUUCUCAACUUCACGGUGUUGACGACGCUGACAAGUCUCGACCUCUCUCACAACUACCUCUCCGGUGGCAUCCCUCCAGGCAUCAAAAUUCUCGAGGACCUCCAAAGUCUGCUCCUGCAAGGCAACCAGAUAAGAGGCUCAUACAACUAG
rnacentral:rRNA from 1 species